AGGACAAUGAAAUCUAUUGGAAAAUAGAAUUUGUCUACCUUGACAAGAACAUCUUUAAUUAUCCCACGUAGUGUUUUUACAGAUCGAUCAGCCAAUUGAAGGGAUACCGAGGUUGGUUUUAACUCACCUAACCCAAGUUACUCAUAAACUGAAUAAGGUAAAAGGUUGACACUUGCCCCUAGAUCUAAGAGUGCUCGAUCAAUGAAAUUACUUCCUAAGACACAGGAGAUGGUGGGAGCACCAGGAUCUUUGAAUUUCGGAGGGAUGUUGUGUUGGAGAAUAGAACUCACUUGCUCAGUUAGGAAGACCUUUCUAGGCACAUGUGUCCUAGAUUUUCGCUUUUGGGUACAAAGGUCUUUGAGAAAUUUAGCAUAGGAGGGAACUUGUUUAAUAGCAUCAAGAAGCAGAAGGUUGAUUUUCACUUGUUUGAAAGCCUCCAUCAUUUCCUCUAGUGAAGUUCCCUUUCUGUCAAAGGGAGAGGGUGAAUUAAGAGCUUCAGGAAAUGGGGCCUUUGGGAUGUGACUUUUGGCAGAAGG
rnacentral:lncRNA from 1 species